AUUGAACGCUGGCGGCAGGCCUAACACAUGCAAGUCGGACGGUAGCACAGAGGAGCUUGCUCCUCGGGUGACGAGUGGCGGACGGGUGAGUAAUGUCUGGGGAUCUGCCCGAUAGAGGGGGAUAACCACUGGAAACGGUGGCUAAUACCGCAUAACGUCGCAAGACCAAAGAGGGGGACCUUCGGGCCUCUCACUAUCGGAUGAACCCAGAUGGGAUUAGCUAGUAGGCGGUGUAACGGCCCACCUAGGCGACGAUCCCUAGCUGGUCCGAGAGGAUGACCAGCCACACUGGAACUGAGACACGGUCCAGACUCCUAAGGGAGGCAGCAGUGGGGAAUAUUGCACGAUGGGCGCAAGCCUGAUGCAGCCAUGCCGCGUGUAUGAAGAAGGCCUUCGGGUUGUAAAGUACUUUCAGCGGGGAGGAAGGCGAUGUGGUUAAUAACCGCAUUGAUUGACGUUACCCGCAGAAGAAGCACCGGCUAACUCCGUGCCAGCCGCCGCAGUAA
rnacentral:rRNA from 1 species